rnacentral:lncRNA from 1 species
GGCUACUUCAUCGCCUGGACCAAGAGAGAAAGAGAUUGUGGAUCUUUUCAGGAAAGUCCAAGCUCAGCUCCGAGCUCGAGCUGCUGCUAAGAAAGAAGAGAAGAAAACUGAAGAAGCUUCUAAAGGACAAGGGGGAAAAGAGAGCGAGACAGUAGACUCUCUACUUAAGUUACUGAGAAAGCACUCAGGAGAACAAAGCAAGAAGAAAGUUAGCAAUUUUACUUCUGAGAAGCAGCUACAGGAAGAUGAUGAUGCUGCAGAAAGACAAGAUCACAGUUCCAAUCAUUUCGAUUCGCGAAAUAAAGAUCGCAAUGCAACUCCCUUUACCAGGCCAGCGUCGAGUUUCAGACGCAACUCGCCUGUACCGAGACAUAAAUCUCCGUCAAGUUAUUCUGGUGAGGCCAUGUUUGACGAGGCAUCAAGUUACAGCGUGACUUGGACUCAGAAAAAGGAUCAAGUAGAGUCGCGUGAUGAACCUGAAUAUGAGCCUGAGUAUGAACCUGAAGAAUCUGAACCAAGACUCACCCUUUUUGGACCUGAAGAAUCUGAAGAACCUGAAGAAUCUGAACCAAGACUCACCCUUUUCGAAUCAGAGCCAAAGCUGAAACCAGAGUCAUUUUUUCUAGAGGAAGAUGAAUUAUCAGAUGAUGAUGAUGAUGAUGAUGAGCCUAUCAAUGCCGAGGAAGAAACUGCGAAAGACGAGGAUUUGAGUGCACUGAAGUUGAUAGAACUUAGAGCCAUAGCAAAAUCAAGGGGUCUUAAAGGGAUUUCAAAGAUGAAGAAAGCUGACCUUGUGAAUUUGCUGGCAAAUAAAGCCUGAUGAUCGGAAUGAACAUGAACAUUGCUUUAGUUUUUUUUGAUACAGCCGAUGAAUCUCAAGUAUUUGCUUCAUUAAUAAUCUUGAAUCUUGAUGCAUUCUACUAAUUUAGUUGAUGAGUUUCCCUUUUGCUCUUAGCAGCAAUGUUGAAAUGGCUUUCUUUCUUUUCAUUGGUUCUUAAUGAAUUUGAAGCCACUGUCCUCACUCUUCAUUUAGUAUGCUAAUUUAUCUAAGCAUAAUCAACUUGAUUAGCGGUAGUUUAAAAUCAGAGUUGAAA